rnacentral:rRNA from 1 species
UACGUAGGGCGCGAGCGUUGUCCGGAUUCAUUGGGCGUAAAGAGCUCGUAGGCGGCUUGAUUAGUCGGAUGUGAAACCUCCAGGCUCAACCUGGAGUCGCCAUCCGAUACUGUCAUGGCUAGAGUCCGGUAGGGGCCCACGGAAUUCCUGGUGUAGCGGUGAAAUGCGCAGAUAUCAGGAGGAACACCGGUGGCGAAGGCGGUGGGCUGGGCCGGCACUGACGCUGAGGAGCGAAAGCGUGGGGAGCGAACAGG